rnacentral:rRNA from 1 species
AAUAGCCUAACGGCUGAACCAGCAACUUGGAAGAAUGUAUAGCAAGAGCUAAUUGUAUUAACAAAAAAAAUAGUUUUUACAAUCUCGAUUUAUUCGAAUAAAAUUCUAGGUAGAUUUAUGAUAAUGACAUUAUCUAUCUAUGUGUCUUGACCAAAGUACGUGCCAGCAGUCGCGGUAAUACGUAAAAGACUAGUGUUAUUCAUCUUUAAUUGGUUUAAAGCGUACCUAGACGGUAAUUAUAGCCUAAACCAGGUACUUUUUUACUAGAGUUAUAUGUAAGGGUGUAUUAAAGUACUGUUGAGUUUAGAGAUGAAAUUCUUUGACACCAGAUAAUUGGCACAGGUAUAGGCGAAAGCAUCACUUUAUGUAAUAACUGACGUUGAGGGACGAAGGCUAUGUGUCGCGAACAGGAUUAGAUACCCUAGUAGUCUUAGCAGAAAAUUAUGAAUGUCAUAGGUUAGAUUUUAUUUGGUCUAUAAAUGAAAGUGUAAGCAUUCCACCUCAAGAGUAAUUUGGCAACAUUGGAACUGAAAUCAUUAGACCGUUUCUGAAACCAGUAGUGAAGUAUGUUGUUUAAUUUGAUGACCCGCAAAAAACCUUACCACAAUUUGAAUAUAUUUUUACAAGCGUUGCACGGCUGUCUUCAGUUAAUGUCGUGAGAUUUUGGUUAAGUCCAUUUAAUUAACGUAAACCCUUACUCUAUUUUUAUAUAGAGUUUUCCACCGUCAUAUUGGAUGUGAUAAAAGGGACUAAGACAAGUCAUCAUGGCCUUAAUAUUGU